CGUAAAUGAGCGACGCUAUCACCGCUGUCAGGCUGUGUUGGGCGCGGUUAGUACUUCGAUGCGCGACCGCUAGUGGAAGUACCACGAUUGACCACCGCUAUUGACCCCUAACAAAAGAUAACCCUUUGUUAAUGGGAACAAGCAUUUAACCCCGACAUGCCUGCCCAACAGUAUCUCGUACGGAAAUACAGACUAACCACGCCCG
rnacentral:rRNA from 1 species